GGUAUUGAAAUAAGAUUUUAAAUGAGUGCUAAGAGAAUGAUUAAACAAUUAAAAGCUUUCUUUAAUUGAAUAAUUGAAUUUAAUUUUUUAGUGCAAAAGCAAAAAUAAAAAUUAGGGACAAGAAGACCCUAUGAAUUUUUUAUUAAAUUUUAUAAAACUUUAUAUAAAGUUUAAUUUAAUUGGGGUGAUGGAAAAAGAAUAAAUAUCUUUUUUUUUAAAGAAAAUUGGUUCCGUUUUUAGCGAUUAAAUGAAAAAAAUACUCUAGGGAUAACAGCGUAAUAAUUUUGGAUAGUUCAUAUAGAUAAAAUAGUUUGCGACCUCGAUGUUGGAUUAGGAUUC
rnacentral:rRNA from 1 species